rnacentral:misc_RNA from 1 species
CAGAGUACUUGCCCUUCGGGGUAGAUCCUCCCACCCUUGGUUAUUAUACCUUUGUUGCUUUGGCAGGCCGCCUGGCUCCUGCCGGACCACCGGCUCUCGGGCUGGUGCAGUGCCUGCCAGAGGAUCCUCAAAACUCAUGUUUAUAGUGUGUCUGAGUACUAUAUAAAUAGUUA